rnacentral:rRNA from 1 species
UACGGGGGGGGCAAGCGUUGUUCGGAAUUACUGGGCGUAAAGGGCUCGUAGGCGGCCAACUAAGUCAGACGUGAAAUCCCUCGGCUUAACCGGGGAACUGCAUCUGAUACUGGAUGGCUUGAGUUCGGGAGAGGGAAGCGGAAUUCCGGGUGUAGCGGUGAAAUGCGUAGAUAUCCGGAGGAACACCGGUGGCGAAGGCGGCUUCCUGGACCGACACUGACGCUGAGGCGCGAAAGCUAGGGGAGCAAACGGG